ensembl:lncRNA
CCGCACCUCCACCUCCACCUCCACCUCCACCUCCACCCACCUGUCCUCACACUGUCUCUGAUACGUUCUCACGGGAAUCCAGAAAACCACGAGCACCUCCGCCCCCUCCCCCCCCUCGGCUCCACCCGCCAACGCCAACGGCGCCCCCCGUUGGGCCGUGACCGUGGCGACGACGAUGAUGACGAAGCUGGUAACCAUGACGACGUGUGGCGUCUUGUAAUGUGAACUUGUGUCCUGAAAUCGCCGGCCUGGUGGGGCUUGGGUCACGACGAUGAUGAUGAUGAUGAUGAUGAUGAAGAUGAAGAGGAGGAGGACGAAGAGGGUUUUAGACACGGGGCGUGAGGGAACGGCUUCCCCGCUCAGCCCACCUUCAAGGCCGUCUAGAAGACAUACAGUCAAUACCAAAAGGGACAGAGAUGGUACGUGUCCUGUCCCAAAGAGGCACAGACAUUGCUAUGGAACCAAAUGGCACCUGGUUAAAGGUGAAAAGACGGCUGGUUUGGGGUUCAAAUGGCCGACUCUCACCUCCCUGCUUCAUUGAUUUCUGUUAUUUGUUUGUUUAUUGGUGCUUUUGUAUCUUACUCGCCCAAAGAUUUGAAUGGAUCUUGGUGAAAGAUCAGACCAACUCCAAUACAGGCAAUACCUGCCAACAUGCGAAAAUUUCCCAAAGAAACGUUUAUUAAUUGAUCAUUGAGUUUCAAUUCUGCGCCAGCAUCACGUUUAUUUACCACUCCAACUAAAAGUAGCAAUGCAACAAAUAUUCCCACAGCAGCUAGCGUGCUUUGGGACUCACAGGGACCAGAUAUAAUGCCAACAAGUUGCCAACAAGCUGUUUUAUCAUCAGCACCAACAAAGUAGCCUUCCAGCAGAAGAAACCAAAGGACCAUGUUUCUAUUGGUCGUGCCUGUGCAUUCUGAUUGGUUUACAAAUUAGUGUAGGUGUUAUGUUUCAAGGUAGUGUAACACAUUUUCGUCAUGUAAUUUCAUUGUACAGUUUUCUUGCAACUGCUAUUUUUUUAUACUGACUCUUACCACUGUGUCUUGGGGAAUGUUAUUAAAAAUCAAUACAGAAAUGAUAACGUCAUUUUAGUUUUUCAGGUCAAGUUAAUUUCAUUUCUCUUGUUGAUGCACUGCUGUGAAACGAGGACAAAGUACAGAGAAGGUUCAACAUUCCUAGGACAACCUUCUUUUUUCUACACAAUCAACAUUAUUUUGAUCAAUAACAACCAUGUUAGACCACAGGUCACCAUCAAAAGCUGCAUGUGUAAAUAGCUCUGCUUCUUACCCUCUCUGUAGCAUCUCUAUACGUUUCAUAAACUGUGAUUGUUAACAAUAUUUCAUGUUCCUGUCUCUUCUUCACUUGUGCUCAGACAAAAACAGAAUCAUUGUUUCCCAGAACUAGGGAUCAGAUUCAAAAAAUGAGUGCAUAAUAGUUACUUGGCAAACUACACAGAUCGAUCAUCUCAACAAAUAUUUUUCUAAAUACUGCAACGUAUAUAAAGAAACAACAACCGCAUGCACACAUUAAAUCAUGA